CACACUCUGGCAUGUCUUCUCACACCAGCAAAGUGGCGUUUGUCACCGGUUGCUUUUACCAGUUGUUGGGUGGACCAUUUUUGGUAGCUCUUUUCUUUCCCUCAUUCUUGUUCCACUUCGACUCUAUCUCUCUGAUUUUCUUUUCCCCUUCUUUCUAUUUCUAGGGCAGUUUCUCCCUGUCUCUCUGUCUCUGAAUGUCCCUCUCUGUGUCUCUCCUACUUGUCCCUUUUCCCUAACCGUCCCCUUCCCACCGCUGGCUCAGGUCCUUCUCCUGGAAGCAAAGGCAUUCCUCAUCCAGACCAGCAGCUGGCAUUUUCGGGACUCCAGCUACACAACACAUACGGCCUUCAAAGGUUUCCGUGGAGCUUUUCAUGUACCAACAUCAAGAGGAGAUGAAAAAGCAAAACGAUGUGCUGUUUGAAUAUUGUGACUGUUUUUAAAGACAGAUAAAAUGAGAAACUGGGAACAAUCCGGCCUAAGAUGGAAAUAAAUCUGGGAAGCUGAGAAGAGUGUGAUUUGCGAUCGCACCACCCACUGGCCUCCCCCUUCAACGUUCUCCUGCCCAGUGUGAACUUCACUUCUGGCUUUCUCUACAAAAGUGGCCAUGAGCGCCCAAUGCACAGAAUGAAUUCGGCCACAAAGGGGCCUUUGAGAGUUACCGAGGAAAGGCCCCACUGGGAAACCAGGUGGAUGGCAAACGUUCCCUUUUCAUUACAAAUGAGUUCAGGGACAGGGCCACCCCGAUGGGACUCUCAACUCCAUCCGAAAGCCAAGCCCCACCAGCCCACUCAUUUGAAAACCAAACAGGUUUCCUUCUGUCUCCCCUCUCCCUGUUUACAAACACGUUUACAAGUGCUUGAUAGGUGACCUUAUUUACUUAGUAACCUGUGGAUUCAUUUAUCUUGAAAUUAGUAGGUAAUGAAGUGGAAAACCUCAACAGCCCUCCCACUAAUUAACAUGAUAAUAAGAUUGUUUUGCUACAGAGGUACAAUUAGCAUGUAUGAGCCAAAGGGGAAGAAAGAUCAAUAAAAUGUCUGAAGGGUACUACUCCCAGGUCUCCAGAAAAGGAUAAAGGAGGGAAACUACAGAUUUUAAGAUCCAUCCGUGUAAACACAUCCAACUCUGAGACCGGAUGCGACCGAAACGAUUUGAUGCCUGCUGGAGAAGGAGGUGUGGAGAUAACUGAAAGGAAUUAAUUACAAAGCACACAUUUUGGUG